rnacentral:sRNA from 1 species
AAAAGGGGUGCCCUGAGGAGAAGGACGGGCAGCAGGUUGAGGCCGAUCGGAGGCUGGAGUGCAGUGGCACGGUCUCGGCUCCCUGCAACCUCCGCCUCCCAGGUUCAAGUGAUUCUCCUGCCUCAGCCUCCGGAGUAGCUGGGAUUACAGCUUGCCUGAUUGGAUACGCCUGGAAGGAGCUGACCAUAGUGGCAGGUGCUGUUUCCAACCAGCUCUUGGUCUGGUACCCAGCAACUGCCUUAGCAGACAACAAACCUGUAGCACCUGACCGACGAAUCAGUGGGCAUGUGGGCAUCAUCUUCAGCAUGUCAUACCUGGAAAGCAAGGGAUUGCUGGCUACAGCUUCAGAAGACCGAAGCGUUCGUAUCUGGAAGGUGGGCGACCUGCGAGUGCCUGGGGGUCGGGUGCAGAAUAUUGGGCACUGCUUUGGGCACAGCGCCCGUGUGUGGCAGGUCAAGCUUCUAGAGAAUUACCUUAUCAGUGCAGGAGAGGAUUGUGUCUGCUUGGUGUGGAGCCAUGAAGGUGAGAUCCUCCAGGCCUUUCGGGGACACCAGGG